CUGGAUUGAUGGACUCACACUGUUGAUUUGAUGAAACAGGUUUUCUCUGCAGACUGAUCAGAUUUUGCUGCUGUUUCAGUUUCUACAACGGUGGACAGGAGGCAACAGGAAGUUCACAGGCCGAGCACAGCGCAGCAUGCCGUCACCCGCUGGGCCGUCACCCGCCGGGCCGCCAGCAGCAGAGCCGCAGUGCAGAGAAACCUGACGGCUGAGCUCGGACAGACGCUCACGCUGCCGUGUCAAGUUCCCGCCAACAACAACAUCGUGGCCGUGAUGUGGACCAGACCCGAUCAGAAGCCCAAACACGUCCUGUUUCUCCAUGGCGGGCAGCGGGACCUGAACAACCAGCACCCAUCCUUCAGGAACAGGGUGGAGCUGGUGAGCAGGCAGCUGAAGGACGGGAACCUGUCUCUGAUCCUGAGGAACUUCAAGACGGGCGACAGCGGAAAAUACGAGUGUCGCUAUAAAGAGAGAAGAGGGGGAGUCUUUGUUUUGUCUGAGUCCGUGAGCACCAUCAACCUGACGGCAAAGCGCUCAGGGGACCCGGCUGGAAACAGGAGUCGGGGCCACGAUGCGGUGCUGAUAACUCUGUCCGUUAUCGGGGCCUUUGUUCUGCUGGCGGUCGCCGUCGUGUGUUUUGUGCUGUGCAGGAAAUGCAAACGGAGAGGGGAGCAGAGCUGAUGGGGAAACAGACGGGGUCCAGGGUCUGGUACCGAUCUGUACAGUCGGCGGUUCUGAAGUGUCGGUGAGCAGUAAAGGCUGUGGAUUGUGCAGAGCGGGGUCAGAGGUCAUGGCUCAGGUGGAC
rnacentral:lncRNA from 1 species